rnacentral:rRNA from 1 species
ACGCUCGACACCUACGGAGGCAGCAGUGGGGAAUAUUGCACAAUGGGGGAAACCCUGAUGCAGCGACGCCGCGUGAAGGAAGAAGUAUCUCGGUAUGUAAACUUCUAUCAGCAGGGAAGAAAAUGACGGUACCUGACUAAGAAGCCCCGGCUAACUACGUGCAAGCAGCCGCGGUAAUCUGAGCGGGCUGGCAAGGC